rnacentral:lncRNA from 1 species
GAUGGAGAGAUGUUUCAGCGACUAAGGUAGUUACUGUGCAAGCCCUAGGACCUGGGUCCACAGCACCCAAAAACAAUAGUGAAGAGAGCUUGGUGGCUUGCAGGUGCACAGUCAGCACCCGGGAGGCAAAGACAGGCAGCAACCUGGAGCUCACUGGUCAGUCAUGGUAAUUAGAGACUCCUAGAUCCCUUUGGGAGGCACUGUCUCAAAAUAACUGAGAAGAUGAAGAGAGGACAUCUGGGCAAAGACAUCUGAGGUCGACCUCUGGCCUUCGCAAACAUGAGCAUAAGAUCUGUGACAAAGAUGAAAUUAUCCUCCUUUAACCAACAGGAAGUCAUGAAGAGACACAAAAACAAACACAGCAACAACAACAACAACAACAAAAACCAGACUGAUCACAUAAAGGGAAAAAAUUUAGAGUCCGGAUGGGGACUCAGCUUUUUUGUAUCACCUUUAUUUUGGGGACUCUUCCUUCAGUCUCUCAAGGUCUUGGCAUCUAGUAUUGUGUCCACCUCAUUUCAAGCCACCAGCCCACCAGCCUCUAUGUGUGGCAAGAACUAAAAUUGUCCUCUAAUUCCUAGGCACCAAAGUAACUAACAGUAGUGACCAGGGGGGACAGGAGAGAUUCCUCUAUUUUGCCUUUAGUAGUACAGGUCUUGUGCAGGCAACCCACACAGGUACAGACAGAAACUAAUUAUCAUAGUCUCCAUAUUUGUUAAGUUUGAGCUAGUGAGUUGUGGAGAAUGUGUUUCAUCAUCUUGCUUUGAGAAAUAAACAUUCAUAAUGAUGUAGAGA